GUUCAACCCCUUCCCUCAGUA
rnacentral:tRNA from 1 species